rnacentral:tRNA from 1 species
AGCGGGGUGGAGCAGUAGUAGCUCGUCAGGCUCAUAACCUGAAGGUCGCAGGUGCAAAUCCUGCCCCCGCAA